rnacentral:rRNA from 1 species
GAUGAACGCUGGCGGCGUGCCUAAUACAUGCAAGUCGAGCGAACGGACGAGAAGUUUGCUUCUCUGAUGUUAGCGGCGGACGGGUGAGUAACACGUGGAUAACCUACCUAUAAGACUGGGAUCACUUCGGGAAACCGGAGCUACUACCGGAUGAUAUUUUGAACCGCAUGGUUCAAAAGUGAAAGACGGUCUUGCUGUCACUUAUAGAUGGAUCCGCGCUGCAUUAGCUAGUUGGUAAGGUAACGGCUUACCAAGGCAACGAUGCAUAGCCGACCUGAGAGGGUGAUCGGCCACACUGGAACUGAGACACGGUCCAGACUCCUACGGGAGGCAGCAGUAGGGAAUCUUCCGCAAUGGGCGAAAGCCUGACGGAGCAACGCCGCGUGAGUGAUGAAGGUCUUCGGAUCGUAAAACUCUGUUAUGAGGGAAGAACAUAUGUGUAAGUAACUGUGCACAUCUUGACGGUACCUAAUCAGAAAGCCACGGCUAACUACGUG